rnacentral:rRNA from 1 species
GAUGAACGCUGGCGGCGUGCCUAAUACAUGCAAGUCGAGCGAACGGACGAGAAGCUUGCUUCUCUGAUGUUAUCGGCGGACGGGUGAGUAACACGUGGAUAACCUACCUAUAAGACUGGGAUAACUUCGGGAAACCGGAGCUAAUACCGGAUAAUAUUUUGAACCGCAUGGUUCAAGAGUGAAAGACGGUCUUACUGUCACUUAUAGAUGGAUCCGCGCUGCAUUAGCUAGUUGGUAAGGUAACGGCUUACCAAGGCAACGAUGCAUAGCCGUCCUGAUAGGGGGAUCGGCCACACUGGAACUGAGACACGGUCCAGACUCCUACGGGAGGCAGCAGUAGGGAAUCUUCCGCAAUGGGCGAAAGCCUGACGGAGCAACGCCGCGUGAGUGAUGAAGGUCUUCGGAUCGUAAAACUCUGUUAUUAGGGAAGAACAUAUGUGUAAGUAACUGUGCACAUCUUGACGGUACCUAAUCAGAAAGCCACGGCUAACUACGUG